rnacentral:rRNA from 1 species
GCGUAUACUAAUAUUGCUGCAGUUAAAAAGCUCGUAGUUGAAUUUCUGGUGACACGGUCUGGCCGGUUACUUAAUUGUGACUUGUGCCAUCGCCUUGUUGCCAUCUUUUGGUUUAACCAAUCUGGCAUUAGGUUGUCGGGUUGGUGAUACCAAUCGUUUACUGUGAAGAAAUUAGAGUGUUCAAAGCAGGCUUAUGCCGUUGAAUAUUUUAGCAUGGAAUAAUAAGAUAGGACUCUGGUGCUAUUUUGUUGGUUUGCGCACUAGAGUAAUGAUUAAUAGGGACAGUUGGGGAUAUUUGUACUAGGGAAUUAGAGGUGAAAUUCUUGGAUUUCCUUAUGACAAACGACUGCGAAAGCAUUUAUCAGGGAUGUUUUCAUUAAUCAAGAACGAAAGUUAGGGGAUCGAAGAUGAUUA